rnacentral:tRNA from 1 species
CAUUAGAUGGCUGAAAGUAAGCUAUGGAAUUUUAAACCAUAAUAUGAUAAAUUACAACUAUCUCUAAUG